rnacentral:rRNA from 1 species
GAUGAACGCUGGCGGCGUGCCUAACACAUGCAAGUCGAACGUGAAGCAUGAGACAAUCAUUUCGGUGAGCGUUUUGUGUGGAAAGUGGCGAACGGGUGAGUAACACGUAGGUAACCUGCCUCGGAGUGGGGGAUAACCAGUGGAAACGCUGGCUAAUACCGCAUGCACCCUGACUGGUUGGUUCUGGUUGGGGUAAAGUUACGGCGCUUCGAGAGGGGCCUGCGACCGAUUAGCUAGUUGGUGGGGUAAAGGCUCACCAAGGCGGAGAUCGGUAGCUGGUCUGAGAGGACGAUCAGCCACACGGGAACUGAGACACGGUCCCGACUCCUACGGGGGGCAGCAGUGAGGAAUAUUGCACAAUGGGGGGAACCCUGAUGCAGCAACGCCGCGUGAAGGAUGAAGGUCUUUGGAUUGUAAACUUCUUUUAACGGGGAAGAGGAAGGACGGUACCCGUUGAAUAAGUCACGGCUAACUACGUG